UACGUAGGGUGCAAGCGUUGCCCGGAUUUAUUGGGCGUAAAGGGCGCGCAGGCGGCCGAGCACGUCCGUUGUGAAAUCGCCUGGCUCAACUGGGCGGGGUCAGCGGAUACGGCUAGGCUGGAGCAAGCUAGGGGGCAAUGGAAUUCCCGGUGUAGUGGUGGAAUGCGUAGAUAUCGGGAGGAGCACCAGUGGCGAAGGCGGUUGCCUGGAGCUUUGCUGACGCUGAGGCGCGAAAGCGUGGGGAGCGAUCCGG
rnacentral:rRNA from 1 species